rnacentral:rRNA from 1 species
UACGAAGGGUGCAAGCGUUACUCGGAAUUACUGGGCGUAAAGCGUGCGUAGGUGGUGAGUUAAGUCUGUCGUGAAAGCCCCGGGCUCAACCUGGGAAUGGCGAUGGAUACUGGCUCGCUAGAGUGCGGUAGAGGAGAGUGGAAUUCCCGGUGUAGCAGUGAAAUGCGUAGAUAUCUGGAGGAACACCGGUGGCGAAGGCGGCAUCCUGGACCAAUUCUGACGCUGAGGAGCGAAAGCCAGGGGAGCAAACGGG